rnacentral:rRNA from 1 species
GACGAACGCUGGCGGCGUGCUUAACACAUGCAAGUCGAACGGAAAGGCCCCGUUUUUGUGGGUCGCUCGAGUGGCGAACGGGUGAGUAACAAGUGAGCUACCCGUGCUUUACUUUUGGCUAACUUCAGGAAACUCGGGUUAAUAACGGAUAGGCGCUCUUGCUGCAUGGUGGUGGAUGGCAAGUUUCGUGGGUUGGGGAUGGACUCGCGGCUUAUCAGUUUGUUGGUGGGGUAGUGGCUUACCAAGGCUUUGACGGGUAGCCGGCCUGAGAGGGUGACCGGCCACAUUGGGACUGGGAUACGGCCCAGACUCCUACGGGAGGCAGCAGUGGGGAAUAUUGCACAAUGGGCGGAAGCCUGAUGCAGCAACGCCGCGUGCGGGGUGACGGCCUUCGGGUUGUAAACCGCUUUCGCCUGUGACGAAGCGUGAGUGACGGUAAUGGGUAAAGAAGCACCGGCUAACUACGUG